UACGUAGGGUGCAAGCGUUGUCCGGAAUUAUUGGGCGUAAAGAGCUCGUAGGCGGUCUGUCACGUCGGCUGUGAAAACCUGGGGCUCAACUCCGGGCCUGCAGCCGAUACGGGCAGACUAGAGUUCGGCAGGGGAGACUGGAAUUCCUGGUGUAGCGGUGAAAUGCGCAGAUAUCAGGAGGAACACCGGUGGCGAAGGCGGGUCUCUGGGCUGAAACUGACGCUGAGGAGCGAAAGCGUGGGGAGCAAACAGG
rnacentral:rRNA from 1 species